UACGUAGGUGGCAAGCGUUGUCCGGAAUUAUUGGGCGUAAAGCGCGCGCAGGUGGUUUCUUAAGUCUGAUGUGAAAGCCCACGGCUCAACCGUGGAGGGUCAUUGGAAACUGGGGAACUUGAGUGCAGAAGAGGAAAGUGGAAUUCCAAGUGUAGCGGUGAAAUGCGUAGAGAUUUGGAGGAACACCAGUGGCGAAGGCGACUUUCUGGCCUGUAACUGACACUGAGGCGCGAAAGCGUGGGGAGCAAACAGG
rnacentral:rRNA from 1 species